rnacentral:rRNA from 1 species
GAUGAACGCUAGCGACAGGCCUAACACAUGCAAGUCGAGGGGCAGCACAUGAGUAGCAAUACGAUGGUGGCGACCGGCGCACGGGUGAGUAACACGUAUGCAACCUGCCUGUAAGAGGGGAAUAACCCGGAGAAAUUCGGACUAAUACCGCAUAAUACCACGAGACUGCAUGGUUUUGUGGUUAAAACAUUUUAUGGCUUACAGAUGGGCAUGCGUAUGAUUAGAUAGUUGGUAGGGUAACGGCCUACCAAGUCUACGAUCAUUAGGGGUUCUGAGAGGAAGGUCCCCCACACUGGUACUGAGACACGGACCAGACUCCUACGGGAGGCAGCAGUGAGGAAUAUUGGUCAAUGGGCGAGAGCCUGAACCAGCCAAGUCGCGUGAAGGAAGAAGGUUCUAUGGAUUGUAAACUUCUUUGCAGGGGAAUAAAGGACGGUACGUGUACUGUUUUGAUGUACCUUGCGAAUAAGGAUCGGCUAACUCCGUGCCAGCAGCCGC